UACGUAGGGUGCGAGCGUUGUCCGGAUUUAUUGGGCGUAAAGAGCUCGUAGGCGGCUUGUCGCGUCGACUGUGAAAACCCGAGGCUCAACUUCGGGCUUGCAGUCGAUACGGGCAGGCUAGAGUUCGGUAGGGGAGACUGGAAUUCCUGGUGUAGCGGUGAAAUGCGCAGAUAUCAGGAGGAACACCGAUGGCGAAGGCAGCUCGCUGGGACGGUACUGACGCUAAGGCGCGAAAGCGUGGGGAGCGAACAGG
rnacentral:rRNA from 1 species